CUUUAAAAGAUUAAUGCUACCCCAACCUAGUUUAAAUCGUUCAACACUUUCUUAACCACUAGAUCAGAAGUGGUUAAGCCUAUAUUAAUGAUUUGUGGAGAGAAAAAUAUUAUCUAAAUAAUUUGGCUACCUCAGAUCUCGCUGAUCAGCCAAGACAUGUCUGGUAUGCCAAAUUUCACCUCUUUGUACCUGCACUGGAGCUAUGAAGCUAACCACCAAUUACUAUCAUGCAGCUGCAUGCCAAAAACAUUACACACUUGCCUCUAACAACAUAGUUUGUCUAAGUAAUAUCAUAAACAGUGUAAUAAAACAGAAUACGACUCUAUUAAAAAUGGUAAAUAUAUUUAUCACACGGAGUGAAUGCAUAUUCAAAAUGAUUAGCAUUACAGUUGUAAGAUAUGGAAUGUACAUAGGGGAAAUCCCUAAGACACUUAAAAUUAUGAAUGUAAUGAUUGAUGCUAGCAUUAACAUUAAUAUUGUAUUAUUCAUGAGGCUGAGAUAAAGCUUGGUGUAGGCAUACUCUCUGUCAAAGACGGUUCUUUCUCUGGAAUACUAACCUGACGGUACAAAGUGACAGCAUGUCAAGCAACAUCUGGACUGAGAUGUGGAUUGAGGUGACAAAUCCAAAAGAUUGGCUCAAUCGAUUCCUCUGACCAAUCUGUAGUGCAGGUGGUCCAAUGUUUCUUUAGUUCCCUACUCAUAAAUUCAGCUCCUAACACCAUGGUCAUUUUUUACAUUUUGUUUUUUAGUCUAAUCCGGACAUUUACAACCUUUCAUUAAAUGUGUAUAGAGACAUGACGUGAAGAACUCAAAGCUUGGAAGGGAGUAGGAAAAAUCGUUGUUAGUACUGUACAGUUAACUUGCUUUGCAAGUUAACUGUACAGUAACUGUACUGUAACUGUACAAGUCUGCCAACAAAGUUAGUACAAAACAGAAGGCGUAAUGUGUAAAUUAACCAAACCAUUUUCACAAUUUACUAGUUAGUUUAGAAGCAAUGGCAGAGUUGAAAAAGAUUUUCGUUUACAAGAUUUUAAAGAAAUUAUAAAAAAAAUUUUGUAAAUGUAUUUUCUUUUCUUUUUUUUUUUUUAAAGUAAUAAAUCAAAUGUCCAUUCCAAAUCAUUUUAUUACAAAAUACACACUUUAAACACACAGUAACAGGUUGGAGCUGUCGAUGGAUUUUUAAGUUAUCUGUUUGACCGCACCGUUGUGUUUUGGCCUAAUCAUCGCUGGAUGCCUUUACUGUUUUUUGUGAACUAUUUUGACCCUAAAUGGAAUGUAUUGUUUUUGUAAACAAUAAACCCACGACCCUGACCGUGUGCGGUUUGAAAGAUUGCUGAUACCUAAGCCUAGCCUACAUUGUUUUGCCCCCCAAGACAAAACCCUUGCUCUGUCCCUGUUUAGAAGUAAUAUAUACCUAGCACCAUUUUUCAUCAAAGGAAAAACCCCAAACAGAUUCUUUGAUGAUUUCAGCGUAAUGCACUUUUAAAUAUGUUAAUUAGUUGUCAUGAUCUAUCCACUAUAGUAGGCUCCUAGGCAAUAACUAAGCAUGCAAACUAAGCAGGCCAAUACUAGCCUAUAUUUGAGGUAAAUUCUCUUUAAAUUUCUCUUUCCUCCCAAGAAGCUGAAGUUUUCUGUGUGAAUAAGGUAAUCAGACAAACAGAAACUAGCUAGCUUCACGUUCAAAAGGAAGCCUCGUCACGUUUCGAGACUUUUUCUUCAAUGAGUUUGAUGUCUGAUUACACCCACAGGCAGCAGAUGUUGUUCCUCCGUUUUCCCUCUCAUGCAUUUCUUGUCGUCUUCUUUUUUUCAUCCCCCCCUCCUCUUGAAACCAGCCCCCUUUCUGGGUCCUGUCUUGUCCUGCUAUAUACAGUACGAAAGCUUCACAAAUCCCUCAUCUUUCCGUACGGACACGAGACUCCGUCCGUGGGAGACUCUUUUGGCGCGUCCUGAGAGAAAUCAUUUCCUCAUAGUUUAAUCUGAAAUGGGUUGUUUUCAGUCAGAUUUCCGUUCGUAGUUAAGGUCUGGACGGAUUUACUUGUUAAAAAAAGCUUCGAGAAGUUGCUACAAGUGGUAGCAUUGCUGUGCUGAGCUAUCGCUGGGCGAGCCGUUAGCGUCGCGCGCGCGCACGGACUGCGCGAGGCGUGCGGCGCGAGAUGUCUCACGAGCUGUCCGAUCUGAGGGAUUUAAAAAGUUUAAACUCGGAUUAUUAACGGAAUCUAACGGAAAUUUCGUCAAAAUGAACCGACGGCGUGGACGGAUAUUUUAAAGAGUAAAAGAGAGAGAGAGAGAGAAAUAUAUAUCUUUAUAUAUGUAUACAUAUAUCUCGAAAUUCUUGAGGUGAUCUUCACUUUGACGAGUUCUUAAGAGUGGAAACUUGCUCGUGGGAAUCAAUGCGGUUUCAUUCGAAAGGACGUGCGGUCCGAAACUCACCUAAACGUCAGCUCCUAUAUGUCGAAGAAGACCUUGAAGUGAAUCUGGAAGACACCUGAGAAGUUCAUAUUUCUUCUACAUAGCCAAAUCCUUAAUGCUAAACACACACACACACACACACACACACACACACACACACACACACACACACACACACACACUUUGCUGAAUUAGCACCUACACUGCUAAAUCAUAUUAGUGAAAGAUCAAACACAGUGUUAAAUGAACUAUGUCCUACUUUUGUCUGUUAUUAAAACACUGUAGGUUAUAAUUAAAGUAGCUGUAGGACUUAUUUCAACAUUAUAGGCGGUUUGGUUUAGCUUUGGGAAUUUUCCCACAUUAAUAUUCGGUAAGCAUCGCUCUAUUCCAAAUUUCAGUUGCAGGCUAAAACAAGAUAAGAGUUUGCUAGCCAGAUUUAUGCCCUAGCCUACCUGUUUAGCAAAUGCAGACAUCGACAUGCAAAGAAAACCCAAAAAGGUUCAACGUGUAAUACUUCUCAGAUGCAUCUUUUAUUAUUUACUUUCUCCGGCUUCUCGGCUAGCGUGUGUUUACCAUCCGACCCAUCAUAUUUGGCCACGACUGAAUGAGAGUUCGGCUUCAGGCGGGUGUUUCUCUUCACACAUCAUCUUCUAACUGCUUGUAGAUUCCAGAGACAGCCAAAAGGAAGAGAGAGAGAGAGAAAGGAGAGAUUGAGGAAGAGAAAGAGAGAGAGGCAUUGGGUCAGAGGCCUGAAUGUGAUGACAAACAUGUUGGAGCCAAUAUCGAAAUUUUCCAGCUUUCAGAUGGAUUUUAUUAUUUACAUUCUUUCGCCGUAGUGUGUGUCAUGAAACAUUCAUUUACAGUGCAUUUAUUAAUUUGACACACAUUUUUACAUAUACAAUCACUCAAAAGUAUAAUUUACUGUAAAAUUUGGGCUGUUCAGGGGCCAAACAGAGGCACACUGGGAUUCGAUCUCAUGACCUUCUGGUUGCUAGUGCACAAGCAUAUGCCAUUGUGACAUGUAUAAACCUAACACUGCACAAAAAGGUUUACAAAUUUCAAUGCGGUUAUAUACAAUCUUAAAAUUUAAGCGCAUUUGUUCAAGGACCAAACAGAGGUUUGUCUGGGAUUUGUCCUCACAACCUUCUGGUCACUAUUGUAAAGCCUAAUGCCCUUUUGACAUAAAGUAAGAAACAAGGUUUACAAUAUACGUGGAGUAAAUACAGUACAGCUCUUGGAGUUAAGAGAGUUUGUUCAAGGGUAAAACAGAGGCUCACUGGGAUUUGACCUCACAACCUACAGGUCGCUAGUGCAGAGCCAUUUUGCACCAUUUUGACAUAUAUACAUCUAAUACCAUGCAAAAGGGUUACACAUCUCAGCAGGGCUAUGUACAAUCCUAGGACUUAGGGGGGUUUGUUCAAGGGCUAAACCGAGGUUUCUCUUGGAUCUGACCUCACAGCCGUCUGGUGACUAUUCCGAAGCUUAAUGCCCUUUUGACCCCACACACAAGGUUUACAAUAUAAGGGGGCUAAAUACAAUUUUAUGAGUUAAGAGAGUUUGUUCAAGAGUUAAACAAAGGCCCAAUGGGAUUUGACCUCACAGUCUUAUGGUCACUAUUGCAGAGCCUUAUGUACAUUUGACAUAUAAUAGGUUUACAAUAUAAGUGGGGCUGUAAACAGUCCUAAGAGUUAAGGAAUUUUAUUCAAGGGAAGAACAGAGACACGCUGAGAUUUGAGCUCACAACCUUACGGUCAGUAGUACAGAGCCAUAACCGCUGAGCAGUCACUCCCUUACAAUCUGUAACGACUCCUGCAUUUCUGUCAGUGAGUGAGUAAGCAAAUCAGUGAGAGUCUUUCAGGCACUACAGAUUGUCUGGACAUGCUAGGCUACGUAGACUUACUCUUCUAAUUUCAGUGAAAAAAGGGAGGAGACUUCAACUAUUAAUCUUUUUUUGUUCUCUCUCAAGCUAACCAUUCAAACCGUUUCCCAUCAAUCCUGGUGGUGAGCAUUCCAUUUAUUUCCAGAGUGAAAGUAAAGAUGUAGACGUCCCUGUUGCGGACAGAGCGGUUGUAUUUGAGAUUUACGGCUAGAACGACGGCGCAUGUGUUAUGGAAAACAGAUAUACAGGGAGACGAGAGUGGCACUGGAUGAAUGUAUCUCCAGGGCAUAGCUGCCAGAGCUGAGCAUCAGCUACUGAAGAAGCACUUAAUAAAAAACACAUACACACACACACACACACACACACACACACACACACACACACACAGAGGCAGCUAUUGGGUCUGUCCUAACCUGCACAGCUAUCGCACAAACUGAAAAUAAAGAUAAAAAACAAAUGUUACACAUGUGCCACUUCCUAACCUAAUAUCAGAUAUCAGGUGUUAAAAAAGGCUGUAAAAGUAGGAGAGGAUGAAAGCUUGAGAAUGAAGGCCAUUAAUGGGAAGCAUUCUCAUUCACUGCAGUGAUAAUGUUAUCCAGAGCAGGUCUCAGAACUGGGUCUGGACUUUCUCUUCCUUUGGACAGGAGAAAACAAAAAAAGAGCGGGAGAGAAAGAGAGAGAGAGAGCAGGGCCACCCAAACCUGUAAGAUCUACACGAUGAUGUCUGAUAGUCCCUUCACACGGUGGCUCUGGUGCUUGAUCUGAAAAUUCCAAAUAUCAGAAACACGUGUGCUGAGUUGCAACAGCAUUCCUGCACUGAUUGUGAAUCGAUAAGCUUGUGCAACUAAUUUCCUUUUCUGUGCUGUAAUUCCCCCGCCUUGUUCGGAGAGAAUGUUGAACUUGGCCUUUUUCCACAGGGUGUGUUGAUGAGUGGGAUGCUGCUAAUCCACACUGAUGCUGAACAAGGGAUCACAGAUAUAUCAUUGUUUAAUCAAGGCUUUGU
ensembl:lncRNA